UACAGAGGGUGCAAGCGUUAAUCGGAAUUACUGGGCGUAAAGCGCACGCAGGCGGUUGGUUAAGUUGGAUGUGAAAGCCCCGGGCUCAACCUGGGAAUUGCAUUUGAAACUGGCCAACUAGAGUACGUGAGAGGGGGGUAGAAUUCCAAGUGUAGCGGUGAAAUGCGUAGAGAUUUGGAGGAAUACCAGUGGCGAAGGCGGCCCCCUGGCACGAUACUGACGCUCAGGUGCGAAAGCGUGGGGAGCAAACAGG
rnacentral:rRNA from 1 species